UUUGAACAAAGGCCUAACCCUGGCUUAACCUAAACCCUGUCUGUGAAACCGGGCCUUGGUGUUUCUCCAAAACUGUCUGGGCAAAUAUGAAACUUCCCAUUUAAUGUUUUUAACUUUUUUGGAAACAAUAACUUUUGUAGAUCUGAAACAAUAUAAUGUUCUGUUCGAGGUUUAAUUCGGGUUUAUACUAUGGGGGCUGUUGAAUGCUCGAAUCUGAUUGGUUGACCAACGUUCUAAGAUGUGCAAUUAUUUUCAGUGAAACAGACGGCUAAAGUAGUUCUAGGCAGGUCUUGACCGCAUUACAGUUCCAUAUCACUUCGCCAAAUGUUUCAGUUCUCUGAAUAGGUCCCUACAGCCUACAACAGCAAUAGAACCAAAACCCACAACGACACCGACCAAGCAAAUAAAUAUAGUAAACAAUAGGAUGAAAACGACAAAUUAUUGUCAUGGUUUUUGCCACAAAAUACGUUUUAUUGUGUCCUGAAAGCGUGCAUACUCCCACUCUCUCUCUCUUUCAAACGUACACAUAGACACACACUCAUACAGAAACGUUCUGUCAGCGCUGCUCUGACGAAUUAAUCAGUAAAAUAGUUAAAGCUACAUGACAUUUCUCACCAGCGAGGUGACAGACGCACAUUUUCACAUGACGUCACACAGCUUCCGUUUGGACUCGAAGCAGGGCAUCCUCACUUCAGUCAGCAUAGAGACAGAGCGACACGCGUCACAAUCUGAAAACCACGCCCACCGGGGGGAAAAACAAUCCAACCGUCUCCAUUGUAUUUCGUGAGGCUGCCUCCUUGUCAUUUCUGACUAAUUACAAAAAACAGAACAAUGUCUAAAAGCUGCUAUGUGACAUGGUCUACAGUAAACAAGCUAAAAAAACCCAGAACUAAGUUUUUAUAAACUGUCGACCCCAAAAAACGAAUGUUUAAGGACACAAAAGUGGACACAGGCAGUGAGACAGAGCGCAACGGGUCAUUUUACUAUAAGAAAUGCAUUGGAGGGGAACGUAUUCGGACCAGGUGAAAUAAUUCUUUGACAUGGUUAAAAAUAAUUAAUGUUUUUUUUUUUUCUUUGUUUGUUUAGCAUAAGCUGUCGCCGAUUACGUUCUCCUCCAGUGUAUUUCUUAUAGUAAUAUGACCCGUUGCGCUCUGUCUCACUGCCUGUAUCCACUUUUGUGUCCUUAAACAUUCGUUUUUUGGGGGUCGACAGUUUAUAAAAACUUAGUUCUGGGUUUUUUAGCUUGUUUGCUGUACACCAUGUCACAUAGCAGCUUUUAGACAUUGUUCUGUUUUUUUGUAAUUAGUCAGAAAUGACAAUCUGCUGCCCGUAGUAACGUGCAAACUUUGCUGUCUUUAUUGCAGAUGAAGCUGUUUAUAUGUAUUUGUCAGUAUUUGUGAAAUAAACGCACGUUUCCGACAUUUACGUGCAGAAAAUUUUUUCAUUCAAUGUUUAAUGUACUACGUAUUUCAGUGCCUGUAUGUACAAUGAAGAUCAACAUAAGCUUAUUCUUUUUAAAUAUCAAAAAGUCUAUUUUUUCAGUUUUAUUUCGAUAAAUAUGACAUACAUAAUAAUAAAAAUUGUGUUUAAUAUAAUGCUAUUUCUACAUGAAGACUGAUAAUGUUGUAAAAACUGACUCCUGUACAUGGUAUUUUUAUUAGUAAAAAAAACAUCGGCAUCAUUCCAUCUCUUCCCAGCUAACAAUGACCUGGCGGUCCGCCAGCGUUUUUUGGGCGGCACAAAGUCAGCGGCUAGACACGGUCGGACCACCGUCGGCACACCAUCGGCGAGCCGACCAAUCUGAAAAUGCAGUCGGUCUGCCAGCGUUUUUUGGGUGGCACGCCACCAGCGGUUUGCCACUGCUGGGCCACCGUUGGUACACCAGUGGCAAGCCGAUAGUCGGCCCAGUUUCUACUGAGCGCUUACAGGACAUCUUUUUUAAUAAGUGUGUAUUUAUUUUAUAUUAUCUUUGCAGUUAAAAAGAAUCUGAAAGCACUGAAUAAAAAAUAUUGAGACUAACCUAAUAUCUAUAUCAAAAGCUUGGUAUAACUGCCUAUGAGCACGCUUUCAAAUAAAAUAAUGUGGCUGAAUGUUUGUAAAAACAACAAUAAAUAUUUUUAAUAAGUUAUAAAAGUUUAAGUUAUACAAUUAUUAAGUUAUAAAAGUCCCACAAUUGUCCCACUAUCACGUGCUGGGGUGGCAUUUUGUUCCUAUGAACGGGUCAUAAAACUACAAAAUGAGUUUUAAAUUCAUGAUUUAAUAUUAAUGAGAUUUUUAUGUGAUGUUUUAAUUCUAGAUGUUUAUUUAUGUGAAUGCUGCAUGACUGUGACGUGUUUUAAUGCGUGUGCGCGCCGAACAUUCGAACCGCUUUCACUGGAGCGGCGCUGAGUUGCCAUGGAAACGGAGAAACAACAACUGACAAGCAGCAAAAACAGCAGUUUCUCGCUGUUGUUUUCACUCUUUUCAGCAGCAACAAAAUAACCCCUCUACAACAGAGGGGAAGCUCCGAAGAUUUCAACAUUUCUGAAGGAAGCUGCUGACAGAAGGAAACAGAUACUUCCCUGCUGAUGCCUUGCACCAUAGCAGAGUUGGAGCGGAUAAAAAAGUUCCUUUCGGACCACAUGACUAGAUGCCCAGCAAGGUUACUAGGAUUACGGCAGCUCAAGUUUGGAUCCAGCCUCACUUGUGAAGACUUCAGAUGAUGGAAACUAUAGAUGGACAUACAAAACUAACAGAUAUUAUCCUUAUAUUGUAAUCAUUGGUCCGGGUUCACAGACAGGGCUUAGAUUAAGUCAGGAUUAGGUCUUAGUUAAAUUAGGACAUUUAAGUAGCUUUUUUAAACAUGCUUUAGAAAAAAAUAAAAAAACAUUACUGUUGUGCAUCUUGACACAAAGCAAUGACACUGACAUAUUUUAAGAUAUGCUUUAAGUUAAAGGGCUAGUUCACUCCAAAAUUACAUUUCUGUCAUUAAUUAUUCACCCUCUUGUCGUUCCAAACCCUUAAGAACUUCAAUCAUCUUCAGAACACAAAUUAAGAUAUUUCUGAU